UACCAGCUCUCCGAGUGGUGUGGAUGUUUAUUGGGCCUAAAGCAUCCGUAGCUGGCUGGGCAAGUCCCCUGUUAAAUCCACCGAUUUAAUCGUUGGAGUGCGGGGGAUACUGUUCGGCUAGGGGACGGGAGAGGCAGACGGUAUUUUCGGGGUAGGGGUGAAAUCCUAUAAUCCCGGGAAGACCACCAGUGGCGAAGGCUGUCUGCUAGAACGCGCCCGACGGUGAGGGAUGAAAGCUGGGGGAGCGAACCGGAUUAGAUACCCGGGUAGUCCCAGCUGUAAACGAUGCAGGCUAGGUGUUUGGGCGGCCACGUGCCGCUCUAGUGCCGCAGGGAAGCCGUUAAGCCUGCCGCCUGGGGAGUACGGCCGCAAGGCUGAAACUUAAAGGAAUUGGCAGGGGAGCACCACAAGGGGUGAAGCUUGCGGUUC
rnacentral:rRNA from 1 species